rnacentral:lncRNA from 1 species
CUCUUUUCCCUCAGUUAGUGCUUCCAGAAGUAUUUAUUACUUUCCCACAUGAGAGGGGAGGUCUCCCUAAUUCAGUUAAUAGGAGCAACAGUAAGAGCAACAGUAAUUCAAUUGAAAAGCGGUAAGUAAACUAUAUGUAUUAUUACCCUAGUCGUUUUCUUAUCGGCUUCGGCGGAUUCUCUUUCAACGGAGUAUAGGCCUGAUCAAGCUUAUGAUCGGACUGCAGUCAAAUCGGGGUCAGUUAUUCAAGUCCGGCUUUAUGUGAUGGUUGUUCCCUUGCCCUUGCUUCUUUAUGGUUGUUCCCUUGCGCCUAACAACCUUCUUUUAUUGUAUUGUACACUACCUUGUUGCGCCAACGAUUAUAUUAGUUUCGGGGAACAAGCAACUCGUGGUCCGCUUUCUUUAGUGAGUGGUGCGUUAGUAAGUUGUGCCUUAGCUUAUUACUUCUAAGCUAGCUUCUUACUUCGGGCUUACAAUAAGAUAUUCCAUUCCUCUGGAGGUGUGUUUACUGGAUUCUACAAUAUUAUAUUCCUCAGGAGAGUAGGCUAGAAUUACCUUUUAUUCCCUCGGAUCAUUGAACUAUCUUAAGAGAGCGGGUAAGAUUACACAAUAAGGAGCCGUCUUCAUCCAUAUAUAUUAACAACCACUUCUUCUGUGACAUUAAUGGAGCGCAUAGCAUUCUUUUAAGUGCUUUUUUGCGCAUAGCAUUCUUUUGAGUACUUUUUUUCCUAGAUAUCAAUAGCUUUCCCCGAUUGACUCUAUGCCUUCUGCUUCGAUUCGAAAUUCCAUGUUUCUCUAUGCUCUUCCAUAUGAAGAAGGAGUGGAUUUUGGGGGUCUCGUAGAAUAUGAGAAAGGCUGCUUUUGGAGUGAUCUGUCCCUGUCCUGUAACCAUCAAUCACUUGAAUAAGAGAAGGCAUCCUAGGCUAGGGAAGAUGGUAUGUCCCUUUCAUGAUCUAGGCGCCGCCUUUAUUCAUUCUACGGAUUCUCUAUCCUUGUAAAGAUGGAGUUGGUGCGCAAUCUACUGAUCAUUGGUAUAAUAUAAAUAGAAAGAACAGAAAUAUG